ACAAAAUAACCCUAUAUACUAUGGAUCCCUAUUCGGUUUUCGGAUCGACCUCUUUCUUCACUCUUGAAACUCAAGGAUUUGUAAAAUACGGUGACAGCCUGAGAGUUUUAAAUCUUAAUCAUCUCAUCAUCUUUCCUUUCUCAUUAUGAUUUUUGUUCUUAAAGGCAUGUUUAGGAUAUGUUCUUUUAAUCUUACUGCCUAUAUUUAGAUAUGAUUGAUUCUGCUUAUAUAAAUCUUGCUAAUAAUAUAUCUGUAUGUUUAAGGUCUAAAUCUGAUAACUUUCAUAUUAAUUGAUUGGAUUUGCAUGCUAGGGUGUUUAAUUAAGAAAUAUGCCAUGAAUAUAAUUAAGUGAAUUGAAACUGUCAUUCUAUUAGCAUGUCUUUUAGGAAAGUUUCCUAUUUCAUUAUCUGAUAAAUAUGCUAAUCUCUAUUUAAUUGCUAGCAUGUCUAGAGUUGAUUAGAUUCCCUUUAUUUUUGUUCCUUUAUGAAUAAUAAUUGAUUUAAACAUGUUAAUAUGUUGGAUUCCACAUUUGUUCUUGUUCAUGCUUAAAUUAUAGUAACUUUGCCUAAAAUGUAUAUUUUCGCAUGUUUAGCCCUGAGUCCUCUAUUUUGCAAUCUGAUUCUAUGUUUCAUCCAUUAAUUCCUCAUUAAUUGAUUUUGUCCCUUUUUUACAUAUAUGAUCGUUGUUUGGGGUGUUUUUGGAUCCUAUUUUGCUGAAAACCUGAGAAAAUGCUGAAAAUUUAUCGUUUUAUCACUCCAAUGAGCCACAAAGGCGAUCGGUUGUUCAUUCCAUAUCUACCUAAUUUUGUUGAUUUUGUCCGAUUUCACCAUUUUUGACCCGUUUUAGCUAAUUUUUCUUAUUUUAAGUUAGUAGUUGUAGGAGGAAUAUAAUUUUAUUAUCUUUUUCUUAUUUUUUGCUUUUAUUUUUGUAUCCUUGUAUUUUGUAUAAUAGUGGACAAGUAGAUGAUUGAUGGGUGAUUGCUACUCAUAAAGGCAUAGGCUUAAAAUUGAAACCUAGCAUGUAAUCAGUAGUCCAUUAGAUUUAAAAGAUGAUAAUUUGGACCUAAUCCAUAGAACUGAAAUAGACUUAGUCUCAGAAUCAUAUAGAUGUUUUCCAACAUCAAUCAAUAAAUAUUGGUGUCUCAUAUAGGAAAGCUUGACUUUGAUCAAAGAUAGUAAAGAAAAAAAUUAAUUUGUUGUUGCCAUGUUGUGGGCAUUAUGGAAAGCUAGAAAUAGCUUGCUCUUUUGGAAUAGGUCUAUUAGACAAAUGAUCAUUUGCUGGAUCGAACAAAUGAUCAUUUGCUAAUCACUUUCAUAAGAGUUCUUUACAAUCCAAAGCCUACUUGUUGCCAUU
rnacentral:lncRNA from 1 species